rnacentral:lncRNA from 1 species
GUGAACACAAAAAAAGUUUAGGAAGAUGUGCCCUCAGCCUCAAUUCCCAAUUCUUUUUCACUUUCAUCGCAGGGAGAAAUCGCAGCCAAUUCCGUCAAUUCCCAAUUCCUUUUCACUUUGGAGAAAUCGCAGCCAAUUCCGUGAAACUGCAGCGAUAGAAAUCGGUAGAAAUUGCAGCCAGCCCUCAGUUAGUAAUUCUCAUGGAAUCGAUGGCUUUUUUACUGAUGUUUGGCCUGAUGGGGGCAUAGUCAGUCGAACCCAAUUUUAAUCCUAUC